UUACUGCUGUACUUGCAUCCUUUUUGUUUUGUAGAUUGGAGUUCUAGUGAAAUCUUUAAAUUUUGGUUUGAGCAGUUUGGAUAAGUGGUUGUCCCCUAAAUCUGGAAGAAUACCAUUGCUCUUUUUUCCAGCCUCGGGAGAAGUAGCACCAAUCUACAAGUACACUACACUAGUACUGGUUUGUUUGUACCUCCUGUUUAUUCAUCUUCUUAUUAAUUUCAUGUACUCUUUAAGAAGAUAGAAAGAUCCACAUAUUUCUGUUUGGUUUUGUGUUUUUUUUUUGGCAAUUAAUAUCAUGUUCGGAUCUAGGAAAAUGGAUAUGAUAUUUGUUUCGGUACAUUUUAUCAUGUUUGGAUGUUGAUGGUAAAGCUCAUAGCUGUAGCACAUCGAGUUUAGGUGCUGUAACUGCUGUUUAUAUUCGGCCGUCUCGGAUAAACUCUCUUGUUAAUUUCUUAGUUAUUUUUUUGGUAUCAAGGGAGAAUGUAAUUGUGUAGCAUACGGUUGGAAUGUAAUUGUGUAGCAUACUAGUCUCUUGUUAAACUACUAAUGACUAGUAUAGUAGUA